UUAGUUGUCUGAAAGCCGGUCUUGAGCAAGGAAGUUUUUCGCUGAUCUUUUUUUCUUUUCUGGACUUGUUUAUUUCCUGAAGCAAUGGCGUUUGAUACGGAAAGGUUCAUAAUUGAAAUUCAUAAUCGGCAGUCAAUAUGGGACUCAUCAUCUUGAAAAUUCAAACAGUGAACAGUGAUUAUUCAAAUCGCGACUUAAAAAAGAAGAGUUGGGAAGAAAUGGUAGAUAUUUUUGGAGGUACAGAACUCCAUAAUAUUAGCGUAAAGAAAGACUUGGGUCAAUCACUGCAAAAAAAAAUGGAAAGGUUUGAGAUCAUGCUAUACUCGAGAAGUGAGAAGAUUAAAACAAAAAAAGUCUGGGUCUGGAGCUGAUCGAAAAAGCGAGUACUUGUAUUUUAGGCAGUUACAGUUUCUACAAAAAGUUACCGCUAUUAGAGAAAAGCUAGAACAGGAUGAGCAAGUUGAUCAGGAGCAGGUUUCUGAAGGUGGCGAAGUGUUAGUUGAUCGAUCGGCAAAAAGACCAUAAAAAAGAAAAUUAGGCACGCAGCUCGAAAAAGAAAAUGACCCGUUAAUACUAACACUACAAAAAUCCAUAGAUUCUCGCGAGCGUCAGUUACAAGAAGAAUCUGAUGAGGAUCGCAUGUUUCUCUUAUCCCUUCUUGGCUCUUUAAAAAGGGUACCUGAGGAGAGGAAAAUGGCAACCAAGAUCAAAAUAUUAACAAUUUUAAAUGAAGAUACAGAGAAUACAUGCAGAAAUUCUAGCUUUCAACACAAUAAUAUUUCAAAGACAUAUGAUUACGGGUACUUAACUCAGUCCAAUUCUCAAUCAACUAAUCAACGGCCAACGACAUUACAUCAAAGCUAUUAAGGACACCAAAGUUUCCAACAGCGCUCGACUACAACCCCAACAUUACCGACAGAUUCGCCAUCAGUCCAACAAAUGACAAGUCAAGAAGCCGUACAACCGUUAUAUCAAAAGCCCUCAAUACCGCAUGGCUACCAAUCAGGUCAUCAUCAAACUCAGUUUACUCAGCCGCUCUUAUCUCCUACCGAUUCUAUUCACUCUCAAUCAGACAUAUCACAAGCUGGUUCACACUCAACUAAUUCUGAGAGUAUGAUAGAACUUUUUAAUCUUUAGUGUUGCUUCAAUCAUGUACAUUGCCUAAUUAUUUGAUUUUUUACUUAACUACUUUAACCAAACCUUUUGAUAUUUAGAAUUUUUGAAUAAAGAUGUUACAAGUAUA